CUAAGGAGUUUUUGUGAGUGGAAUGUUGGCGUCCUGCCUGUGAUGGGUGGGGUUGGGGGCAUGCUGUUGGGUUGUGGGGUAUCACAUGUGUGGUGGCCUGUGCGGUGCUGUGUUGCGUGUGUGCGUGCGUGGUGUUCGUGUGGUGGUUGAGAACUGUAUAGUGGAUGCGAGUAUCUUUAUUGUUGUAUGUGCUUGUGCGACGUGGUGUUGUGCAAAG
rnacentral:misc_RNA from 1 species